rnacentral:rRNA from 1 species
GGAUGCGAUCAUACCAGCACUAAAGCACCGGAUCCCAUCAAAACUCCGAAGUUAAGCGUGCUUGGGCGGGAGUAGUACUAGGAUGGGUGACCUCCUGGGAAGUCCUCGUGUUGCAUUCC